rnacentral:rRNA from 1 species
CCAUGCCGUAAACGGUGGGCGCUAGGUGUGGGUUUCCUUCCACGGGAUCCGUGCCGUAGCUAACGCAUUAAGCGCCCCGCCUGGGGAGUACGGCCGCAAGGCUAAAACUCAAAGGAAUUGACGGGGACCCGCACAAGCAGCGGAGCAUGUGGUUUAAUUCGAAGCAACGCGAAGAACCUUACCGGGACUUGAAAUCUUAUGGAAAGCGCAGGAGACUGUGCCCCUCUUCGGAGCCGUAAGACAGGUGGUGCAUGGUUGU